rnacentral:rRNA from 1 species
UACGAAGGGGGCUAGCGUUGCUCGGAAUCACUGGGCGUAAAGCGCACGUAGGCGGAUCUUUAAGUCAGGGGUGAAAUCCUGGAGCUCAACUCCAGAACUGCCUUUGAUACUGAGAAUCUUGAGUAUGGGAGAGGUGAGUGGAACUGCGAGUGUAGAGGUGAAAUUCGUAGAUAUUAGGAAGAACACCAGUGGCGAAGGCGGCUCACUGGCCCGGUACUGACGCUGAGGCGCGAAAGCGUGGGGAGCAAACAGG